CCUACGGGAGGCAGCAGUCGAGAAUCUUUCUCAAUGGGGGAAACCCUGAAGCAGCAACGCCGCGUGGGGGAUGAAAGUUUUCGGGUUGUAAACUCCUUUUGUUAGAGAAGAUAAUGACGGUAUCUAACGAAUAAGCACCGGCUAACUCCGUGCCAGCAGCCGCGGUAAUACGGAGGGUGCAAGCGUUAAUCGGAAUCACUGGGCGUAAAGAGCGCGUAGGCGGGAUAGCAAGUCAGAUGUGAAAUCCUAGGGCUUAACCAUAGAACUGCAUUUGAAACUGUUAUUCUAGAGGAUGGGAGAGGUAGGCGGAAUUCUUGGUGUAGGGGUAAGAUCCGUAGAGAUCAAGAGGAAUACUCAUUGCGAAGGCGACCUGCUAGAACAUAACUGACGCUGAGGCGCGAAAGCGUGGGGAGCAAACAGGAUUAGAUACCCUUGUAGUC
rnacentral:rRNA from 1 species